rnacentral:rRNA from 1 species
GAUGAACGCUAGCUACAGGCUUAACACAUGCAAGUCGAGGGGCAGCAUGGUCUUAGCUUGCUAAGGCCGAUGGCGACCGGCGCACGGGUGAGUAACACGUAUCCAACCUGCCGUCUACUCUUGGACAGCCUUCUGAAAGGAAGAUUAAUACAAGAUGGCAUCAUGAGUCCGCAUGUUCACAUGAUUAAAGGUAUUCCGGUAGACGAUGGGGAUGCGUUCCAUUAGAUAGUAGGCGGGGUAACGGCCCACCUAGUCUUCGAUGGAUAGGGGUUCUGAGAGGAAGGUCCCCCACAUUGGAACUGAGACACGGUCCAAACUCCUACGGGAGGCAGCAGUGAGGAAUAUUGGUCAAUGGGCGAGAGCCUGAACCAGCCAAGUAGCGUGAAGGACGACUGCCCUAUGGGUUGUAAACUUCUUUUAUAAAGGAAUAAAGUCGGGUAUGGAUACCCGUUUGCAUGUACUUUAUGAAUAAGGAUCGGCUAACUCCGU